ensembl:misc_RNA Metazoa_SRP Metazoan signal recognition particle RNA
GCUGGGCACGGUGGCAUGCGCCUGUAGUCCCAGCUACUCGGGAGGCUGAGGUGGGAGGAUCACUUGAGCCCAGGAGUUCUGGGCUGUAGUACGCUAUGCCAAUCAGGUGUCUGCACUAAGUUCGGCAUCAAUAUGGUGACCUCCCAGGAGCAGGGGACCACCAGGUUGCCUAAAGAGGGGUGAACCAGCCCAGGUCAGAAAUAGAGCAGGUCAAAACUCCCAUGCUGAUCAGUAGUGGGACUGCACCUGUGACUAGCCACUGCACUCCAGCCUGGGCAACACAGCGAGACCCCAUCUCUA